rnacentral:rRNA from 1 species
AUACGUAGGUGGCGAGCGUUGUCCGGAAUUACUGGGCGUAAAGGGCGCGCAGGCGGCGCGUUAAGUCCGGGGUGAAAUCCCACGGCUCAACUGUGGGGGGACCCUGGAUACUGGCGUGCUGGAGUGCGGGAGAGGGAAGCGGAAUUCCACGUGUAACGGUGAAAUGUAUAGAUAUGUGGAGGAACACCGGUGGCGAAGGCGGCUUCCUGGACCGUAACUGACGCUGAGGCGCGAAAGCUGGGGGAGC